GGUUAACCGGUGGCGGACGUGCCUAACACAUGCAAGUCGAACGGUUCUAAGCGCGAGCUUAGGAUAGUGGCGAACGGGUGAGUAAAAGGUAGGAAUCUACCCCUUGGACGGAGAUAGCUACUGGAAACGGUAGGUAAACUUCGAUAAGCCCGAGAGGGGAAAGUGGUGAGACAGCCGAGGGAUGAGCCUACUCUCCAUCAGGUAGUUGGUGAGAUAAAAGCUUACCAAGCCGAUGACGGAUAACCGGUGUGAGAGCAUGAACGGUCACAAGGGCACUGAGAGACGGGCCCUACUCCUACGGGAGGCAGCAGUGGGGAAUCUUGGACAAUGGGCGAAAGCCUGAUCCAGCGACGCCGCGUGGAGGAAGAAGUCCUUCGGGAUGUAAACUUCUGAACUAGCCGAAUAAAAGGCCUGUGGACACACAGGAGAAGAAAGUAGGCUAGGAAAAGUCCCGGCUAACUACGUG
rnacentral:rRNA from 1 species